rnacentral:rRNA from 1 species
UACGUAGGGUGCAAGCGUUAAUCGGAAUUACUGGGCGUAAAGCGUGCGCAGGCGGUUUUGUAAGUCUGUCGUGAAAGCCCCGGGCUCAACCUGGGAAUUGCGAUGGAGACUGCAAGGCUUGAAUCUGGCAGAGGGGGGUAGAAUUCCACGUGUAGCAGUGAAAUGCGUAGAGAUGUGGAGGAACACCGAUGGCGAAGGCAGCCCCCUGGGUCAAGAUUGACGCUCAUGCACGAAAGCGUGGGGAGCGAAACAG